ACUCUCUUAAUAAAUUUUCAUGUUUCCAUCAAAUGAAAAUGAAGAAUGACACUGAGUUUUAAAAUAUUCAUAUAUUCAUUUAGUCAACAAAUGUUUCUUAUGUGGCACACACCUAAGGAUUCGGCACCUAAGGAACUGCUCUUGAACACAUAUCUCUCAGAAGACAGGCCCACUCUUUCUCUCAUGCAUAUGAGAGAGAGAGGUGUCUGUCUGAGGGAAAUCAGAGUGAUACCCACCAGGAUUUGAAGUUGAUGCCCAAAGUUUGCUAAAGAGUAUGGGAAGUUUCUGGGUGCUAUGCAUUUCCAAGUCAUGGUUAAACCCAGAGAACUUUCAGAAGUCAUGAAAGAAGGACCUACAAACAAACAAAAUGAGUAAAACUUUAAAAUUAGGACGCAACACAGGCAGGAGAAGUCACUGUGGGGAGUGAGAGUCGUAUUGAUGAAUGUUGGGGGAAAUGAAGACAAGCAUUGGCCUGAGUGGCAGAAGGUUUCAAACUAAGAUAACUGGUAAGAGAAUUUUUUUUUCGAGAUUUAUGUAUUUUAUCAUAUAUGUGAGUACACCAUCGCUGUCUUCAGACACACCAGAAGAAGUCAUCAGAUCCUUACAGAUGGUUGUGAGCCACCGUGUGGUUGCUGGGAUUUGAACUCAGGACCUCUGGAAGAGCAGUCAGCGCUCUUAGCAGCUGAGCCAUCUCUCCAGCCCUGGAAUGAACCUUUGUGUUUGAGGAGGAGGAGCUGGGUUUCUGCCUAUUGACCCAAGGACGCAGUGAGUGAAAACCAGGGCAGAGUAUGGAAAGUAACUUUUUAAAAGUCACUUAUAAAACAUACUAUUACUCUAAUAGUUAUAGGAAAUAAAGUACUGUAAAAACUCCAGAACAAUGUGUGGUGAAGGACCUAGAACAGUGUCUCCUCUACAUGUCUUCUGUGCUAAUGUUUUUGUAACUGCUGGCUUUAGGCUUGUUUCCUUCCUAGCACUGUAUACACUAGAUUCUUUUUUAUCUUUUCUUUUUGAGAGUCUCAUUUGACUAGAUUUUUUUCUCUCUUUUCUUCCCUCCCUCCAUACCCUCUGACACACCUUUCCUUGUUUUUUUUCCAAAUGUAUUCUCUUCUUUUUCAUUAACUGUAAUUUGCCCACAUAUAUUCCUAAAUAUAGCCUACUCAGUAUGUGUAAAGUUACUCGCGUGGAUUCUUUGAAGGCUGGCCGUUUGGUAUUGGGUAACCAGUUGGUGUGCUCUACACCGGAAAAGACUGUUUCUCUGUCUCUCAGCACUCCUUAGUUGCCUGUAGUUCUUUGUGUAGGGAUGAGGCCCCAUGGGCUUUCCCCAGCCUCUAGGCCUUGGCAUGGCUGCUGGAGUGUUCCUUGUUCAGUUCAUGCUUAGGCAGUUCAUUGGUGGAGACUUUAGAGGUGUGGCUUCCUGAUAUUACUACACUUAGAUUUUCCUUUUUUAAACUGAAGGAUGUUAUAAUAUAUAGCCUCAUUCAAAAAACCAGAACGUAUACAAACUGAUCACGAAAAUUCGUCUACCAGAAAGAUUAAUUCAUAUAUGGUGAACCUUUCACCUUGAUAAUGAAAUAGAAAUUUUUGUGAUUCUGCUAAAUAAGUUGGACACCCAGAAUAGUCUAGAUGAAAGUAAGAAUUGUGUUCUGAAUUAACAGAUUCAUAAAAAUAAAAUACGCAGAAUUUAUGUUUAGAAAUUUAUCUAUAGUAUUAACUGGAAACCCAUUCCUUUUCCUCUGUCUCUCUCUCUCUCUCUCUCUCUCUGUCUCUCUGUCUCUCUCUGUCUCUCUCUCUGUCUCUCUCUGUAUCUCUCUGUGUCUCUCUGUGUCUCUCUCUGUCUCUGUCUCUGUCUCUGUCUCUGUCUCUCUCUCUCUCUCUCUCUCUCUGAUUCUCUUGUUUCUCUUUGUAGUCCUGGCUGCACUGGAAGUCACUCUAUAGACCUAGAACUCACAAAGAUCCACCUGCUUCUGUCUCCCAAGUGGAGGUGCUGUGGUUAAAGACGUGCUCCAUCACCACCCAGACUCUCAUUUUCUUCUUAUUUGGGGGAUAAUUCUUAACAGACAGAUAUAGGUAUGUGUGCUGUGACUGGGGCACUCAAUUGCUUCCAUUUCAAAUCCAGCAAACUUCUUGUGAUUCCAAGGAAUUCAUAUAAAGAAAGACUGCAUAGGUGACAAUUCAGUCUAGCGUAUCUGUCUGUCUGUCUGUCUCCAUCCGUUCCUUCCUUCUCCUCUUUCCUCCUUCUCUCCUUCCCCCUCUCGAAGUUUAACAUGGAGCAGAUACUCCUUCUGUACAUGUUACCUGGAUAAAACACAGUAUCACACUCAACUAUUUGGAGACACACACAGCCUCACUGGGGAGAGAAAAGUAGUUGCAUAGUUAUUGGGAAAUCAGGAAAAUAAUUGAAAGUGGAGAACUCUGGUCCAUUAAUCGGGAGGUUCCUUGUACGGCCAAUGAGCUUUGGUAUCCAAUUUAAUGAAAGAUGCUUUUUCUUUUUUUCACUUUUCCAGAGCAGAAAAAUUAAUUGGUAGCUAUAAUUUAAAUUUGGUUUCCUUUUAAUUGAAAGAAUGUCUAAA
rnacentral:lncRNA from 1 species